rnacentral:rRNA from 1 species
CCUACUGUGUGCAGCAGUGGGGAAUCUUCCGCAAUGGGCGAAAGCCUGACGGAGCAACGCCGCGUGAUCGAAUAAAGGCCUUCGGGUUGUAAAGAUCUGUUGACAGGGACGAAUAAGCCAUGCGAAUAGUUUGGUGUAUGACGGUACCUGUUUAGACAGCUCCGGCUAACUACGUGCCAGCAGCCGAGUUAAUACGUAGUGAGCAAACGUUGUCCGGAAUUAAUGGGCGUAAAGGGCGCGUAGGUGGGUGCUUAAGUCAUGUGUGAAAAGUCUGGGGGCAACCUGGAAUGUGCAUUUGAGACUGGGUAUCUUGAGAGCAGGAGAGGAAAGUGGAAUGCCUAGGGUAGCGGGGAAAUGCGUAGAUAUUAGGAGGAACACCAGUGGCGAAGGCGACUUUCUGGCCUGGACCUGACGCUGAGGCGCGAAAGCGUGGGUAGCGAACGGGAUUAGAGACCCCGGUAGUC